AUUGAACGCUGGCGGCAGGCCUAACAUAUGCAAGUCGAACGAGUGGCGGACGGGUGAGUAAUGUCUGGGAAACUGCCUGAUGGAGGGGGAUAACUACUGGAAACGGUAGCUAAUACCGUAUACUAUCGGAUGUGCCCAGUUGGGAGUAGCUUGUAGGUGGGGUAAAGGGUCACCAAGUCGACGAUCCCUAGCUGGUCUGAGAGGAUGACCGGCCACAUUGGAACUGCGGCACGGUCCAGACUCCUACGGGAGGGAGCGGUGGGGAAUAUUGCACAAUGGGCGCAAGCCUGAUGCAGCCAUGCCGCGUGUAUGAAGAAGGCCUUCGGGUUGUAAAGUACUUUCAGCGGGGAGGCGUUACCCGCAGAAGAAGCACCGGCUAACGCCGUGCCAGCAGCCGCGGUAAUAC
rnacentral:rRNA from 1 species